rnacentral:rRNA from 1 species
GAAGAGACACGAGUGCUUGUGGGUCUAAACUGUCCCUCGUCGUGUACCUACAGCUAAAAAACCGUGGAGACGAUAGUACUUUGAUCAUACCUAUCCAAGUCCGUGUGGAAACGAGUAAAAGUCGUACUCCUCCUUCUUCUACUAAAUUAAAGAAACUCCCAUUCCUACUACUACGACUAUCAGGUAUACAACUUCGGGACGACUGUGUCGUCGGAUUCUUACAGCCUUCACGUAGCAAGACACUACUAAGACGGUUGUUUGUUUCCUUCUUGUUCCUUCUUCUCUUAAGAACAGGACAACGUCACGUCAACGGUAGACUUCUUCCGCUAGUUCUCGACUUCGUUGUACCUCGUAGGGCCGGUAGGAACUUAAGAGGACCGUUGUCCUCCGUGUCCGCGUCUCCAUUGUCUUUCUUCCCCCUUCUACCAAGACGAAGCUCAGGAUAACUUCGAGUACACGGUAGAUUUUUUUGCUUCGUUUUGUUCAGUUUAAGAGGACCGUUAUCUUCCGUGUCCGCAGCACCAUUGUCGUUCCUCAACGUACUAAGACGAGACUCAGGACUACUUCGAGUACACGGUAGACUUUUUCCCUUCGUUUUCUUCUUCACCUUAAGAGAACCGUUGUCUUCCUGGUUUUCAGGACCAUUGUCCUUCUUCAGUUUAAGAGGACCGUUGUCUUCCUGGUUGUCAGGACCAUUGUCCUUCUUCCUUCUUCUACUAAAUUAAAGAAACUUUCCUGAUUAGGACACUCCUACGACAUGUUCUUUUAUCCUCGUUAUACCUAGAGUUUUGACUUCUUUUCGUCCGGUGGAAUCACCGAGACACGAGUCUUUUCUCCUAACGAAUGACAAAGUGUUUUUAUCCUAAAAAGAUUCGGUAGGAGACAGAUAAUCUGGAAAAAGAUUCGGUCAGUUUUAAUGGUCCUAUUUUAGUCCCUAAUUUACUCGCAACCAAACUUGAGCUGUUUAUAUAAAAUAGUCAAUUGGUACAAUACAUCGAUGACGUAACAGAACGGCUAUUAGCAGAAGUGUGUGAUCUAUAGUUAAAUAUACACACUAAAGUAAACUUAGAGCAUUCGGUAUUUUAAUAAAAACCGUAGUAGACCAUCGGCCUUUUUACAAAUCACAAAUGAGUGAGUUACACCCAACCCAGGAUAGAACGAAAACAAAUGAUAUGAGGAUGAACAAAUACAAUCGUUAAUCUUUUGGAUUCUAAAUCCCGGGUUUAGGUCCGGGGUACUGAUUAAACAAUUACGUAAUUGGUUUACACUUUACACCGUCGUAGUCGUACUCAUAGCCCCCGGUAGGAGGAACCUUAAAACAGUGAGACAAAAAGAACGACCAGUUUCACGCUCAUGACUGUCCCCAAAAACAAGAAUCUAAACCGGUGGCCUCGCCUAACCAAGCUAACCAAGUUUCCUCAUCCUGUGCCUCGCACCGGAGGCUUGUAAGUCGUUUUGUCCCUGUAACACUUAAAUGAUCUAACGCUGUUCAGAUGUGUCCCUUAUCCGGCUCAAACGUUACUCGUCGAACGUCUCGAUGAUACCGGACUCAAGAGUUUCUCCUCUACCGUACCUAAAUUCAUGUAAUUACAGGAACAUGUCGUUCCCUUCGAGGGUUCCAUAACCUUCACUUUAUGAGGGUUUAAGAAGAAGAGGCGGACUGUCAUGUGUUUCGUAACCUUCUCCGUUGACCCGCUGGUUUCUUAAUCAAGUAACCAAGGUAUGCGGUACCGUCUUUCACCUCCGGCUAGGGGUCCUACUGGGAAAGACGGCCUAAGUUAAUUCUACUGCUUUUCAAAAAACGGUUCCGGAAAAAAGGUCAUACGCAAACUUAUACCUGUGUCUGAGUUUCUUGCCACCCUAGAAAUACACCAGCCCGAGGUUCACCUGGAAGUUGGUACUCAGGAAGUGGACAGGCAACGAGCUGCCAGACGGGUUUGGACACGGCCCAGCAUCCUACUUUCGACGAAAAUGAUUCAAGAUGAGUUACAUCGCCGCGUUAUCCUCAAUAAAAACAUAAUGGCGAGACGAUAACGUUCGAAGCAGACCUAGACAAUACAGUAGGUAUACUCGAUUCAACUCUCCCUUUACCUUCUCCUCCGAACCAAGCUGUACUAGAAGACAGUGCAGUUAGGAACAAGGAGUCUCGCCGCUAGUGUGUUGCCUACCCUAAUACCUCAGCAGUUUGCUGUAAUGUCAACGUAGUUUGCAUAGAUUCGUUACUAUCUUUCUUAGGAGUUCUAGGACCACGUAAGAAAAAACGACAGCUUUGACUUCUUUCUUUCACGGUCUUGUUGUAGGACACAAGUAAAAGAAAAAUUAAAAGAAGGUGCUCUUAGUACCAAGACAUUUGUAUCGUCGUCAAAGUUUUACCGAGUUAUUCAUGUUACGUAAGAAACAGUACAUUGUCGCAAGGAUUCGAUAAUAACUUACUAGUGCCAAAAAAAGUUGUGCAGGACCUGAAAUGUAAACUAUAUAUGUAGUUCAAAGACCCUGUCUUUUGGUAGUACCUGUUGUAUAUAAAAACGAGGAAAAGUGGGUGAGACAAGAAAAGAUAGCCCCAACUAGGGGUUUAGUCCAUACAAACAAAAAAUUGAUGAUUAGUCUCUUCGUCUAUUUUACAUUUCCCUAAAAGUGUUACCUUCUCUUUUAGUUUCUUUUACCACCUCCUCUUGAUUGGUAAAAAAACCAGAACAAAAAAAAAGGACACGGAAAAAAACGCUUCGGGAGGACGAGUUAAGGAGAAAAAACUAGGGAAAGAGAAAACAAAAUCAAAACGAGAGUCGUUCCCACGAAGCGACAUAGUUACUGCUCGGUAGGAAUGGAUCGAUACACGAGCUGUUGACGUCGGUUCUAGCGAAGGAGAGAAGAAAGGGGGGUGGGGGGGUUUAAAAAAACCGAGACACACACUACCCUUUCCCCCGACCCGCUACUGUGCACUACCCUAGCGGUUCUAACAUCGUUCCCCUCUCCCCUUAGUUCGAUUAACAGAUUUCUAGGCGGGGAGGGGGUUCUUUUCAAAGCCGGCCACGUUUCUUAGUGCUGGACUUAAACUAGGGCUAAAGAGAGAGAUUAGUGCCCCCCAAUCCCCAAAGACUCCAACUUCUGCUACACCAAGAAAAGUCUAAAUAGGGGUAUCAAAUAAAAAUAAGAUAUAGUGGAUAGACCUGCCGCGCCUUCCUGAUUUUCCAGGUUUAACUGAUCGCGUGUCGCAGCCGAAGAGGGCAGUCGCCUAGGUGUCCGCCCCGUUGUUGUUGGUUUAGGCCACCCGCCUGCCCCUUGAACUCCUGCCUCCUACCGCCACCUCAAGGGGUAGUGGAACGCCCUCGAGAUGUCCUUGCGGUAGUGCUUGACUUAAACCGUAAUCCUCAACGAUUAUUGAGCUUCCCUUGUUCCUUUAACAACCGAAAGAAGUUAUGUAGGUUGGUUAUCUAAAAAUAUAGUUGGUACCGACUCGUCCGUUCUCGUCUAAAACGUUGUUUCGAGAGUGAUGCCUUUAAGUACCGCUGCCGCGUCGCACAUUGAGAUCUAGUUUCCGUCGAACGGGCAUCGUACCCGGACCUAGUAGACGAACUGGAUUUUACACUAUGAGACGGCGCGCCACAGCAAGUAAUAGACCGUAGUUUGAAACUACAUGGGAGUUCCCGAUAACUUGAGGGGUUACCCAAGUUCAAGUGUUAGUGUGGGAUGACGUAUGUGGUCCAGGACCCCUAUGGUGAACCGUCGUCUUGGUAUCUCUUCUUCGUUUUGGGUCGUGAAUCUAGUGACUAACGAGUUGUCUGUUUUACGUUUCCUUUGAUGGGUUGGUAUUUGCUCGACCUAUUGAACUAUGUUGGACCCGAUCUACCUCUAAGUAAGUUUUCCUAAAAGUGUUACAUACGCGAGUGGCACGAGGAGACGGGAAGUUCGGUACCCCGACGAUCAGGUCUAAUGAUGGUGUAAGACCUUCUGGGACUUGUCUAACCGAGUAAGCUGAAGACGUACCGACAGGAACUGUUCGAACACCGCAGUUAACUAUCGAUGUUCCGACCUCGGUGUUGCCACGAGCCGCCCCUAUAGAAUUGUGAGUCUAGUAUAUGAAACUUAAAGAACUGUGGCUGUAGUACGGCCAGUGUUCGUUCGCCGGUGCCUAAAGUGAAACCUGCAGACUUUAACAUCGUCUUAUACUUUCCGCCCUGACGUGUUCGUCGCUAUUUAACGAAAUGCCGUUCGAGGGCUGUUUCGCACAGAGCCUUUGUGGGAAGCCAGUUUAGUUGUCUGUCGGUUUUCAGUGUGAUCCACGGAGCAUACUACUUGAGGACGUCAAGUGGGAGAGUUAACAAGGUCUCCUUUUGGUGGUCUACCAAAAUCUGCUCGAAGGUUUCUAAUACGUAUCGUACGUCUCGCUCGAAAAACUAAGUUACGUUUUACAUGAGCGGUUCUUGAAAUACUUGGACGACUUUGACUACAGCAGUUACGUAAGAAGUAGUGGAUCGUUUUUUGUCUUAUCGUGUCUGUUUCUAAGUUCAACGCACGGGUAAAGUCUCCGAGGCUGCCAAGGAACACCAUCGGUGAGGUCGAACGUUUACUGUUCAUGGUGUGACCGACUUUCUUUUGUCCUAUUCGGACUUCGUUUUUGUCCCCGUCUUACACCGAGUCCCGUCCUUUGUCUCGUGCAAAAAUGUCGACUUCUUUGUUUCGGUAACAGACUUCAUGUUUCCUUCUUGUUGUUUCGGGGGCAUGGGCACGAGAACUCAAAACUCCUAUGUUCACUACUUCAAAACCGCCUUACCCUGUUUGUUCGUACACGGUUACGGUCCCAUGGGUUGCAACUUUCGGAUGAAGCUUAUUAACUGUGUUAUGGUUAAAGCUGGCUGGGUCUGGACGGCGCGACGUGCCUUCGUAACCUCCCCUACAUGGGUGUCUUCCACGUCCAACCUCUAUGGCUCCGACUUGGAUGGGUGUGAAAAUCGAACGAAAGAAUACAAGAACUGCUCUUUCGUAAAACCGUGGCUGGCGACUCAGGUGCUCUCGGUCUAAAUAAUUGGACGUCCCUCGAGUUAGACAAACUUCUUACCUUCCAGAGAUGGUUCCAACUACCAUCACUUCCAGGUUGGUCGUCACUGGGAUAGUCCUGCUGUCUCCUGUAGUGAUUAUCUUUGUUUUCCUGCUGUACGUACAGGAAUUUGCUCUGCCGACUGUUGACGCAACGAAACUUUUUUUCCCGUUCCUACAAAGUCUUGUAUCUACUCGACAGCUCGUUUUAAGUAGUACUCUACGGUGUGUGAAAUCCUUGACAUUCGCGUAGUAGUGUGGUCUUUCUAGUCAGUAGUUCGCUGCGAUUAGAACCAGUCUAGGUUGUUUGUGGCCAGGUACCGUGGAGAAGUCGAUGGUUGUUUCUGAAGGGUACCCUGCUGGGACUAUACCAUCGCGUCAACUAGCUCAGAUGGCUAUCCUAACUCCUUAACACCAAAAGUGUUGUUUCUGUUUGAGUCAUAUGGUGUAGUCAAUGUGUUCUGUAGGUGUAUAGUCUCUAGUUCGGGUUACUCUAAACAACGUUAAAGUGGAGUUUAGGUCAGCUUUCACGACAAAAGUCGCUGUAACACAGUGCUUAUGGUGGAGUAAGUUCCGUUUUCUCGGGUUCUUAUCAUGUUUACCCGAGCUGUACCCAACUUGUAUCCCAAAAACCGGACUCGUACGUUCACAUACCGGCCCAGUUAUUCAUGCACUAGUUAUACAACCCUUUUCGUCAUUACCGGCUCGUUUGGCUUUUCCUAUCCGAGUUAGAAGAGGGCGCUUCAAUGACCAGUUCUAUGAUACAGCUUACGCUGUUACGAUUUAAUAAGGUUUUACGUAAACUUUGAGGUAACCGCAAUAGACAAGUGGACUCCCUCUGUUACUAUCCUAAGGUAGAACUGGCUUAAGUGUACCACAAAAAUGGAAAUUCGAGUAUGUCAAAGACCAUGUGCCAACAACGAUUGAAAUCCUUCUUUAACAAGCUUCAGGAGACGGGUUUGUUGUCUUAGCUGAACUAACGACUGCUUCGAGUCGAACAUUAGUUCUUAAAGUUUCGCCGAAAGUUCGACCGUAUGUUCUCUAGUGUUGAUUUACACUGACUGUACCCACACAGAAAGGCCUCACACACGAGAAGUUGAUUUCUCCGUCUGUCACCCUAGAAGUGUUACUUCAACCAUGUUCCUGUACUACCUCUGUUGUGAAACACAAAGCUUGGGCUCGUACGUUUCUCGGACGCGCUCUCAGAUUGAAUGAUGUACCAACGAGUGGGAACGUUACUUUUUGACUACGGUCUUUGGUUUCUUUAGAAUUCUUUUAUACCACAAGGUAAACUGAUGAGCUGAGGUCCCAUAAGAGGUACCCCAGGACAACGUCUUGUUACAAUUGAUGUAGACCGACCUUUUCUAGUAGGGUUGUCCUGAUUUAGUGCUGGGAUUCGAGGGCCUCCUAGUGGGUUCCUACCGUUUUGCGGCAUGUGUACUCUUACUAAGUAGCUAUUCUCCUAAUAAAAACCGCUUUAUGACAAAAAUAAAAUUAAAAAAAAAACGAAAAAUCAUAUCUUUUGUGUAUGUAAGAAUAUAUAGGAAAAAAACCUAUCACUACUGUAAAAACAGGUUGCGUUCAAGAACUAGAAAAACAAGUCUAUGUUUAAUUAACCGUUGUGGCAGGACACCCAGGAACUCGCCUAGGGUGUAAUCGAG